rnacentral:ncRNA from 1 species
CGGUCUUGGCCCGGGGUCGGGUUCGCGGUACGUUCCCGAUGAUAUUGACGACGACAUGACGGAAGCCGGUGGGAUCCCGGCGCGGUCGCGCCACUGUAUGUCCGGUUUUUUCCAGCCCAGCAGGGCCGGAACCGGGCGAGCCAGACCCGGCAUGUCGUUACGCAC